GAGGAACCGUGCAGCCAUGGAGGAAGUUCAAAAGCAUCUCUGUCACUUACAUUAGUAGUAGGUCCCCUUUGGUGGCUAAACCGAGCCUGUCGGGACACUGUGUGUGAGUUGAAUCUCAGAGUCCAAAGGGAGCGGAGACGGAGUACAACACCACACGCACCAUUAACGUCACGUAGCUUCCGCAAGUCUGUGCACUAGCACUUGUGGAGAAAAACCCACAAAAGCCCACCCAACCACGCCUGAUAGGAAGGUGCUGGGAAAGAAAGUCCUCUUUACCUUUCAGACGGAAAGGCGAUGACUGUGUGGAAUUUGCCCCCUGCAGCUGCGGGGCCUUCUUCCACUUCGAUGUUUGUGCUGCGUGUCAGUGCGGGAGGGCUGCUGUGGCCUCGCCUCUGUGCCUGUGCCUCCUCCACGCUGAGCAGCAUGGUGGCAGGAGAAGACACCCGCACAGACUUGGGCCCUGAUGGAGAACUGUGCCCUGCAAGGGAAGACAAGACCACAGCUAAGAGGGAGGAUCAGAAAGCAGCAGCACAGCCACCACACUUCUGGGGGAGGUGCUGCCCGCUUCUCAGCCUUGCUUAUCCGAGCCACUGGAAGAAGAGGAGGUCCAAAGAACCGUGUGGUCAGAGGAAUGUUUAUGGCAAAGAACACAGUCAUCAUUCACAGCAGUUCACUGUAGCGAAACAGGCAAGCAAAAACCCGAGAAGAGGGGGGCAGGGAACUCAGAAAGCUUUGCUGCCACGCUUUCAUCAAGCUUCACCUGCAUGCAAAACAUCAUCGUGACAGGGACGGUUUUCUCCUUCUCAACUUUGGGCUUGGACACUCUCAGCAUCCAGCCACAGGGUGCCAUAUUCUAAUCUACGCCCACAAGCCUGCUGGCCCCUCGACAGUAAAAGCAUCUUUCAGCCAUCUUGGAGAAGGUCAAGGUGUCCGAUCAAGACAAAGCUAUUGCAGGAAGACGCUCACCUGCUCCAUCUCCGAUGCCUGAUGUGGAUGUGGAGCAGAAGAGGACGUCUGUGUGGCUGAUGAUGUAC
ensembl:lncRNA